UAACAAAAACAUGGUUUUUUGAUGAUAAUUAAAAAUCGGUUCUGCUCACUGAAUAAUUAAAUUUAAAGAGCUGCAGUAUUCUGACUGUGCAAAGGUAGCAAAGUCAUUUGUUUUUUUAUUGGAAACUGGAAUGAAAGAAUUGAUGAGAUAUAUGCUGUCUCAAUAUAAUUUAUAGAAAUUGAAAUUUAAGUUAAAAUUCUUAAAUUAUUUUAUUAGACGAGAAGACCCUAUAGAAUUUUAUAGUAUUUAUAAGUUUUUUUUAAUAAGAUUUAUUAAGGAGAGAAAUUUAUGAAUUUUAUUUAAUUGGGAGGAUUUUUAAAUUUAUAUAACUUUAAAUUUUGAAAACCAAUUAUUUUUGAAAAGUUGAGUUUGUAAUAAUUAAAAGAUUAAAUUACCUUAGGGAUAACAGCGUAAUAUUUUUGGAGAGAUCAUAUUAAUAAAAGUGUUUGCGACCUCGAUGUUGAAUUAAGAUAUAAAUUAAAUGUAGAAGUUUAAUAUUUAAGUUUGUUCAACUUUUAAAAUCUUACGUGAUCUGAGUUC
rnacentral:rRNA from 1 species